AUUGAACGCCGGCGGCAGGCUUAACACAUGCAAGUCGAGCGGGGGGAGGUAGCUUGCUACCUAACCUAGCGGCGGACGGGUGAGUAAUGCUUAGGAAUCUGCCUAUUAGUGGGGGACAACAUUUCGAAAGGGAUGCUAAUACCGCAUACGCCCUAAGGGGGAAAGCAGGGGAUCUUCGGACCUUGCGCUAAUAGAUGAGCCUAAGUCGGACUAGCUAGUUGGUGGGGUAAAGGCCUACCCAGGCGACGAUCGGGAGCGGGUCUGAGAGGAUGAUCCGCCACACUGGGACUGAGACACGGCCCAGACUCCUACGGGAGGCAGCCGUGGGGAAUAUUGGACAAUGGGGGGAACCCUGAUCCAGCCAUGCCGCGUGUGUGAAGAAGGCCUUUUGGUUGUAAAGCACUUUAAGCGAGGAGGAGGCUACCGAGAUUAAUACUCUUGGAUAGUGGACGUUACUCGCAGAAUAAGCACCGGCUAACUCUGUGCCAGCCGCCGCAGUAAGAC
rnacentral:rRNA from 1 species